CUGAGAGAGGAACAGUGGCUGUAACACAGAACCUGGGAAGAGUGCUGAUGGUGUGGGAGGUGAGUGAAGGAAGAGGCUUCCAUAAGAAGUCAUCAGGGAUGUAAGAGAAGGGCAAGAAGCAGAGAUGUUUUGGAAAGUGAUGGAAGCGAGUAUGGCCAGAAUAAGGAAGGUGACACUCAGCAGGAGAAAUGCUUCAGAACUACAAAUCCCAAAAAGACUGAUGGAACCUAGCUGCUGAGAGAUCAUCUUGACUGUAGAGACCUGUACUGUAUAAGAUGUGGCCACUGAGCACUAGAGGUGUGGCUGGACCAUGCUGCAAUUUGCUAUAAGCAUAAAGUUCACACCUCCAAAGAGUUUCCCUCAUGACUCAUUUCAGUCUCCUACAGUGAUUCAGACUACAGCCUGGAGGUGAGAGUGAGGGGCGGUCUCAGCAUCCUAACCACUGCCGUGUCUUCCGUGUUGUAGAAGUUCUCCUACAUCCUCGAGGACAAGGUUAGCUGCUACGGGCAGACCGAGAAGCCAGAGGCCCCACUGCAUACUCUUUGCCACUUCUUGGUGUCCAGCAUUGCAGCAUUCUUCCUCGGAUGCUGUGUAGAGCCCCGGCGCUGGACUUGGAACAAGGAGGUGAGCUCCAUGAUGAGCAACACCUGCAGGAAGGCUGGGCCGCUGGUGUCUGAGGAGUGGUAGUGGAUUCACUGGGCCUCUGACUCAGGUUCAUCCAUCCUCGCCUGAAUGUGGUGAAUUAAGUCUCUGUUCCUACUGGUCAGCAGUAACUAGUGUUGACCUUGAAGAGUCAUUCCUCCGGCUUCAUUUCCCCUGGGAUUACUAUUGUGGUGACUCCUCCUCGUCCUCCAGGUCUCAGCCUUUGUGGAGGCCACCUGUGACCCCAAAUAGGUUACCUACCUAGAGCACACUUGAGAUCAACACAGGCCCGCUAUUCUAGCCUGGAGACAAGACAGCUGUCACCCACGUUUUUACGCUGCCUGGACGCUUCUGGUGCUGCUGUGCUUGCUGG
rnacentral:lncRNA from 1 species